CGCCAUCAGAGAGUUUGAUCCUGGCUCAGAUUGAACGCUGGCGGCAGGCCUAACACAUGCAAGUCGAGCGGAAACGACUUACUGACCUUCGGGGAACGUUAAGGGCGUCGAAGCGGCGGAAUGGGGUGAGUAAUGCCUGGGGAAAUUGCCCUCGAUGUGGGGGAUAACCAUUGGAAACGAUGGCUAAUACCGCAUAAUGCCUUCGGGCCGAAAGAGGGGGACCUUCGGGCCUCUCGCGUUAGGAUAUGCCCAGGUGGGAUUAGCUAGUUGGUGAGGUAAGGGCUCACCAAGGCGACGAUCCCUAGCUGGUCUGAGAGGAUGAUCAGCCACACUGGAACUGAGACACGGUCCAGACUCCUACGGGAGGCAGCAGUGGGGAAUAUUGCACAAUGGGCGCAAGCCUGAUGCAGCCAUGCCGCGUGUAUGAAGAAGGCCUUCGGGUUGUAAAGUACUUUCAGUCGUGAGGAAGGUAGUGUAGUUAAUAGCUGCAUUGCUUGACGUUAGCGACAGAAGAAGCACCGGCUAACUCCGUG
rnacentral:rRNA from 1 species